rnacentral:rRNA from 1 species
UAGUGAGUUUGAUCCUGGCUCAGGAUGAACGCUGGCGGUCUGCUUAACACAUGCAAGUCGAACGCAAGUAGAAAUACUUGAGUGGCGGACGGGUGAGUAACGCGUGAGAAUCUGCCUUCUGGUCGGGGACAACCACUGGAAACGGUGGCUAAUACCGGAUAUGCCUAUGGGUGAAACGAUUAAUUGCCAGGAACGAAGAGCUCGCGUCUGAUUAGCUAGUUGGAGAGGUAAAGCUCACCAAGGCAUCGAUCAGUAGCUGGUCUGAGAGGACGAUCAG